AGAGUUUGAUCAUGGCUCAGGAUGAACGCUAGCGACAGGCCUAACACAUGCAAGUCGAGGGGCAGCACAAGGUAGCAAUACUUGGGUGGCGACCGGCGGACGGGUGAGUAACACGUAUGCAACCUGCCCGUAAUCGGGGGAUAACCCGGAGAAAUUCGGACUAAAACUCCAUGAAUCUGAGAUAUCGCAUGAUAAAACAGAAAAACGCAAGGAUUACGGAUGGGCAUGCGGAUGAUUAGCUAGUUGGAGGGGUAACGGCCCGCCAAGGCGACGAUCAUUAGGGGUUCUGAGAGGAAGGUCCCCCACAUUGGAACUGAGAGACGGUCCAAACUCCUACAGGAGGCAGCAGUGAGGAAUAUUGGUCAAUGGGCGCGAGCCUGAACCAGCCACGUCGCGUGAAGGAUGACGGCCUUAUGGGUUGUAAACUUCUUUUACAGGGGAAUAAAGUGAGUCACGUGUGAUUUUUUGCAUGUACCCUGUGAAUAAGCAUCGGCUAACUCCGUGCCAGCAGCCGCGGUAAUACGGAGGAUGCGAGCGUUAUCCGGAUUUAUUGGGUUUAAAGGGUGCGUAGGCGGGAUAUUAAGUCAGCGGUGAAAGUUUUCGGCUUAACCUUAGAAUUGCCGUUGAAACUGUUAUUCUUGAGUGCAGUAGAGGUAGGCGGAAUUCGUUGUGUAGCGGUGAAAUGCGUAGAUAUAACGAGGAACUCCGAUUGCGUAGGCAGCUUACUAUAUUGCUACUGGCGCUGAGGCACGAAAGUGUGGGUAUCAAACAGGAUUAGAUACCCUGGUAGUCCACACAGUAAACGAUGUCAACUGGGUGUCGGUAGUUUUACACUAGCGGUGCCGAAGCUAACGCGUUAAGUUGACCGCCUGGGGACUACGGCCGCAAGGCUAAAACUCAAAUGAAUUGACGG
rnacentral:rRNA from 1 species